rnacentral:tRNA from 1 species
CGACUUAGCUCAGCUGGUAGAGCAACUCCCUCGUAAGGAGUAGGUCGAAGGUUCGAAUCCUUUAGUCGGC